rnacentral:rRNA from 1 species
UAGGGAAUCUUCGGCAAUGGACGAAAGUCUGACCGAGCAACGCCGCGUGAGUGAAGAAGGUUUUCGGAUCGUAAAACUCUGUUGGUAGAGAAGAACGUUGGUGAGAGUGGAAAGCUCAUCAAGUGACGGUAACUACCCAGAAAGGGAGGGCUAACUACGUGCCAG